AGAUAUUUCCAAUUUCCCGUUCCCACUUCGACAGUGGGGAAGUGGCCGAGGGAGAAGCCAUGGCCGCCGUCCCGCUCCCGCCGCCGCCUCUCCUCGCCUCCCACGCGGCCGUCCGCGCCGCGGCAUCAGCCGUAUGCCGCUCCCGCCGCGCCCGCCGCGCUGGCGACCAACCGCCGCAGGUCGCGGCACUCCUGCGCGGCGACUGGGUCAAGCUCAUCUGCGGCGCCAGCUUCGAGGAUGCUGCUGAUGUCAGGAACCUCUCCCUUGUCUACACGCUUGCUGGAGUGGAUUGCAUUGAUUGUGCAGCAGAUGCAUCUGUGGUGGGUGCAGUCAAUGAGGGUAUUGAUGUAGCAGCCUCAAUCAUACCAGCUGUUCAAAGGCCAUGGGUGAUGGUUAGUGUUAAUGAUGAUUGCAGAGACCUUCAUUUCCGUAAAGCUGAAUUUGAUCCUGAGGAUUGCCCACCGGAUUGCUCAAAGCCAUGUGAGAAAGUUUGUCCUGCUGAUGCAAUAUCACUUGAGAGUGUCAUGGUUGGAGAACACACACAAUCUGAUCCCUUACAUGGUAAAUUUAAGGGUGGUGUUCUUACAGAGCGGUGCUAUGGAUGCGGACGAUGCUUGCCAGUUUGUCCCUAUGACAGAAUAAGAGCCGUGUCCUAUGUUCGAGAUCCAACCACCACUUCUGAACUGUUGAAAAGGAAUGAUGUUGAUGCAAUAGAGAUACAUACCACUGGAAAGGGAACUGAUACAUUCAAUACCCUCUGGAACAGCUUGAGGGAGUCAAUCAGUAAUGUGAAGCUGGUAGCAGUUAGCAUGCCUGAUAUUGGUGAAUCAACUGUUGAUUUCAUGAAUGCGCUAUACGCAAUAAUGGAGCCUCAUAUACAAGGGUACAAUCUUUGGCAGUUGGAUGGCCGACCCAUGAGUGGUGACAUUGGUCGUGGUGCAACAAGGGAAACAGUUUCUUUUGCUGUUCAUAUGGCUUCAGUGUCAGAAAGACCACCUGGCUUCUAUCAGCUGGCCGGUGGCACCAACUCAUACACUGUCGAUUGCUUAAAGAAAGCUGGUCUUUUCCGGUCUACGACUUUUCCUGGGACAGCAACUUCUGAAAUGAUCGGUUCUCAGCAAACUUUAAUCGGAGGGAUUGCUUAUGGCGGCUAUGCUCGCAAGGUUUGAACUAGUGGCAUGGCUUUUAAGCUUGAUCCUUACUGAAACGGAACUGGUGACAUGGCUUUUAAGCUCGAUCCUUACUCAAACAGAAAUCAUUGGAAGAACUCUACGGAAAGUACCGGCACAGUUUGGCUGUGUACGAAUCGAGGAUCAUCCAGAACAUCUACUGGAGGCAUUACAAGAAGCCCUGUCAUUAGUAGGUCCUGUGAAGGGUUAUCCAGCCCUUUCAAGCCUAUCAUGAAAGAGGAGUAGACUGACAAUAGGAAGUAGAUAGCUAUACCUUUGAACCCGGUUUAGAGUGUAGAUUGCCGCCAUCUAGAAGGUGAAGAAGAUGAAAUGCUGCGUGUUUCAGCACCAUCUGGAUACCUGUAUGAUGUCAACAUGCUGAUAAUUGGACGAGGAAUCCAUGUGGUGGCGGAUGGUCCCUUGGUGCUGCCGUUGAAUCUUUGGUGCCGUGGUGCUGCGGACAUCUCCUUUUGCCCUUGUAAAUAAAUAUAGAAAAAAUAGUACGAGUUGACCAGC